rnacentral:sRNA from 1 species
GUCACUUAGUGUGUUAGGUUGAGACUGUUUUGAUUAUCAGCACUUAUGACAAUGUGAUAUUCAGUGUUUUUUUUCCCCUUUUAGUUCUGGACCUGCAGAUAGAGUGGCUUUGAUUUUGGAAUGAGGUGACUAACAGAUAAAACUUUGAAGUUGAGAAGAAGUCAUUAUUAUUGAUUGGGUUUUAUUGUGGGUUUUAUCAAACCAAAUAGGGCAGCCCCACAGAACAUUGAGUCAGAAGUCAGAAGCUUGCAGGUUUGGAGUUAGGAUUGACUCAGUGGCACAUUAAUUACCCAGUGUCUGGGCUUUUCUUGGGAUUAAGGAGUUAUCCUAUUUUUCUGCCUGACUGGGAAUAAGUUUAAAAAGGUAAAAUAUGAAAUAGGUUCUGCUAUUUUUCAUUCAACCUUAAGGUGUCAGCACUGUUUACUAUCUUAAUGUUAAAAUAAUUCUGUAAAACUUUUCAUGUUAAACAUUUUUUUUCUCUGUCACUGAUUUCAGUUGUUUUGGAGAAUCAUGUAGUGACAGAUGAAGAUGAACCUGCUUUGAAACGCCAGCGACUAGAAAUCAAUUGCCAGGAUCCGUCUAUAAAGUCAUUCCUGUAUUCCAUCAACCAGACAAUCUGCUUGCGGUUGGAUAGCAUUGAAGCCAAACUGCAAGCCCUGGAGGCUACUUGUAAAUCUUUAGAAGAAAAGCUGGAUCUGGUCACGAACAAGCAGCACAGCCCCAUCCAGGUUCCCAUGGUGGCCGGCUCCCCUCUC